rnacentral:tRNA from 1 species
CGGGAUGUAGCGCAGUCCGGUAGCGCACUCCCUUGGGGUGGGAGAGGUCGCAAGUUCAAAUCUUGUCAUCCCGA